rfam:Medicago truncatula strain A17 chromosome 2, whole genome shotgun sequence.
ACAAACAAAUGUUUCUUUGAGGUAAAAUUGGAACGAUACGAAGAAGAUUAGCAUGGCCUCCUCAUCGAGGAUGACACGCACAUAUUAAGAUACGGUCCAAAAAACA